UGCCUGUGGGAUGGACUCACACUGGAGAAAUUCAUGGUGGACUGUCUCCCAUGGGAGGGACCCUAUGCUGGAGCAGGAGAAGGACUCUUCUCCCUGAGCAGUGGAAGGAACAGCAUUUGAUGAACUGACAAUAAGCCCCAUUCCUCAUCUCCCUGCCUCACUGAAGGGAAAAAGGUAGACCCCAGCUGUGGAGAAGAGUGAUAGAGAGGCUUUGGUGGGUGCCUGGCAUCCAGCCAGCAUCAAUCCACUACACACCCUUCUUGUUUCUCCUGUUGUCAGAGUUGUAAUCCAGCCUGAGGAGGAGGAAAUUGGUUGAAAAGAAUAGACAAAAACUCAAGCUGCAGCGAUGGAACCACCUGACAGUGGCCAACCAAAACAGUCAGGACAGCAAUGGGAUGCCCUUGCUGGCAGCCAGUGGGAAGGAAUGCAGAGCAUUUGCUGUGUCUGGGGACCAGCUCCCACAGCACUGGCAGCUGCCAUUUAAGUCCAGCUUGCUGCCCUGAGCUCCAGCAUCCAUGUGGCGAUCCAAGCCUGCAAGUGAUGUUGUCUUCCUCACAGUGGGGCAGGAAAGCAAACAGCUGGUCUGCAAGGUGCUACAUCAAGAAAAACACCCUUCUGAAAGCAGGUUCUGAACAUUCAUCUACCUUGUUUUCUUUCUUUCUUUCUCCCUUCAAUAACACAUAAUCCAUUAAAUAAAAAAAGAUUACAGGUUGCA